GAUGAACGCUGGCGGCGUGCCUAAUACAUGCAAGUCGAGCGAACGGACGAGAAGCUUGCUUCUCUGAUGUUAGCGGCGGACGGGUGAGUAACACGUGGAUAACCUACCUAUAAGACUGGGAUAACUUCGGGAAACCGGAGCUAAUACCGGAUAAUAUUUUGAACCGCAUGGUUCAAAAGUGAAAGACGGUCUUGCUGUCACUUAUAGAUGGAUCCGCGCUGCAUUAGCUAGUUGGUAAGGUAACGGCUUACCAAGGCAACAAUGCAUAGCCGACCUGAGAGGGUGAUCGGCCACACUGGAACUGAGACACGGUCCAGACUCCUACGGGAGGCAGCAGUAGGGAAUCUUCCGCGAUGGGCGAAAGCCUGACGGAGCAACGCCGCGUGAGUGAUGAAGGUCUUCGGAUCGUAAAACUCUGUUAUUAGGGAAGAACAUAUGUGUAAGUAACUGUGCACAUCUUGACGGUACCUAAUCAGAAAGCCACGGCUAACUACGUGCCAGCAGCCGCGGUAAUACGUAGGUGGCAAGCGUUAUCCGGAAUUAUUGGGCGUAAAGCGCGCGUAGGCGGUUUUUUAAGUCUGAUGUGAAAGCCCACGGCUCAACCGUGGAGGGUCAUUGGAAACUGGAAAACUUGAGUGCAGAAGAGGAAAGUGGAAUUCCAUGUGUAGCGGUGAAAUGCGCAGAGAUAUGGAGGAACACCAGUGGCGAAGGCGACUUUCUGGUCUGUAACUGACGCUGAUGUGCGAAAGCGUGGGGAUCAAACAGGAUUAGAUACCCUGGUAGUCCACGCCGUAAACGAUGAGUGCUAAGUGUUAGGGGGUUUCCGCCCCUUAGUGCUGCAGCUAACGCAUUAAGCACUCCGCCUGGGGAGUACGACCGCAAGGUUGAAACUCAAAGGAAUUGACGGGGACCCGCACAAGCGGUGGAGCAUGUGGUUUAAUUCGAAGCAACGCGAAGAACCUUACCAAAUCUUGACAUCCUUUGACAACUCUAGAGAUAGAGCCUUCCCCUUCGGGGGACAAAGUGACAGGUGGUGCAUGGUUGUCGUCAGCUCGUGUCGUGAGAUGUUGGGUUAAGUCCCGCAACGAGCGCAACCCUUAAGCUUAGUUGCCAUCAUUAAGUUGGGCACUCUAAGUUGACUGCCGGUGACAAACCGGAGGAAGGUGGGGAUGACGUCAAAUCAUCAUGCCCCUUAUGAUUUGGGCUACACACGUGCUACAAUGGACAAUACAAAGGGCAGCGAAACCGCGAGGUCAAGCAAAUCCCAUAAAGUUGUUCUCAGUUCGGAUUGUAGUCUGCAACUCGACUACAUGAAGCUGGAAUCGCUAGUAAUCGUAGAUCAGCAUGCUACGGUGAAUACGUUCCCGGGUCU
rnacentral:rRNA from 1 species